rnacentral:lncRNA from 10 species
GUAUAUCUAAAGGAUUAAGAAUUUCCAAUUGAUGUUUGUAUAUAGAAAUGCACCUAAUCUGUGUAUAUUCAUCUUGUAUCUACAACCAAGAAACUCAAUGAACUUUGGUACUCUGUGAAUGCUAGAAAAAUAGUGAAAAUCAUGGAGCAACAAAAGAAUUAUCUUUUUUCUUAUGUGAAGUAUAUAUGGGCAUUUGAGAACUCACAAGAGAUGGUUCAUGUCAUUACUGGGGCUGAAGAAAUAAGAAAAAAGAAUGGUUAUUGGAAUCUGAAAACUGGGAGUGCCGAGUGGAUAGAGCUGUGUAACAGGACCUGUGGCCUUAGGCAAGUGACUUAGCCGUGCCAUGCCAACUCUGUUGGGAGAGUCAAGGUAUUUCACAUUUUUCCCUCCCUCAAAUCUCAUUAUCGCUUGUUUGUCAAGCUUUUUUAUCUUCCCCAAACAACUGUUUGCACGUUGAUUAUAUUGGAACCCUUCCUUUAUUCCAGGGAUGGACACAUAUUUCAAAUAUGAAAUUGCCUUUUUUGUUCAUUUUUUUUUCAAUGUAACCAUUUAUGAGCUUUCAUAUACCUUAACUUUCAGUUUGGAUCUCAUCUACAGAUAAAUUACCUGAUAGAACUUAGUAUGAUCCCUGUGUUAUGGAUACAUGUUUUCUGGUGGAAGGACAAGAGUGGAAGCAAAAGGACAAAGGAGAUCAACUGGGUAGAAUAACUCAUCGAUCCCACCAGGCCUCCUUCCACCAUUCUCCAUCCUACUUUCUACUCUGACAGGCAGACUUAUAUGGAAAAAAGGGAGAGAGUAUUACUGGAGUCUUUACACCCCUGACUUCCUUUCUGCUGGGUUGCUAUAGCCUGACUUCCAUUCUGGACAGAAGAUCAGAGCUUUCUGUGAACCAAUCCUUUUCACACAGAGCUCUCUGCUUCUGGGAUUAGCUAACUGCCCCUUCAUAUCCAGGGUAGAUAAUCAUACCCCAAUUUUUAUUAGUCCUGCAUUACUCUUUCUUUUAUGUUUUUCUAUACCCUUGCCACACUUUGGUAAAUAGUUCCUUUAUCAAAUUGUCUCUGAUUGUCCAAUUUGAGUGUGCCAUCUGUUUCCUGUUAGGGCUCUGAGGAUACGUC